rnacentral:misc_RNA from 1 species
ACCACCUACCAGUCUGGUUACUUCGUUAUGGCGCUGGCUCUGCUGGUGACUGCAGGCUUUGUCCACCUUUUAUAAACUUUUGUUUAAUCUAAAGAUGUUUGAGAUAACAUCCAUCUAUAUAAAUGUAUAUGUUGACAAUGCUUUGAUGUUGACAGUGCUUUUGUGAAGUUGUGCAUAAUCUUUACUGCAUUUCCUAUGUCUACAACCUAGCUGUAUUUCCAAAACAAGUUAAAAUAAUAGCACCUUAUUUACACUAUAUUUGCUUUGAAGAUGGAAGAUGGGUGUUUUCCCAGUAAGAUUAAUACACUGAAUCCUAGCUGUGAGAUAAAAGAGUGCUUCUCACUAUGUACUAGUAUGUAAAUGCUUUUAUAUUGUGUAACACAAAUGUACAUGUACAUUAUUAAAGAUGAAGUAUUUAUUAAAUUCAGUUUUACUCU